GUCAGAUUACAGAGGGCCUGAAUACCCUCUCCUUGAAUAGGAAGAGACCUCCAGGCCCCCCCGCCUGGUCCGAGCCUUCGCCGGGAGGCCCGGCUGCAAGCCCCGGAGGGCUCGUCGGUGCCGCGGGCGCGCCGCGGAGGCCGGGGAUCCGCAGCCACAAGCCCGGCCCCGCCGGCGUCCCGGAGCUGCGCGCGCGGCCGGCGAGGAGCGGUCCUGCCUUUGCAAACCUCAAAGAAAAGUUUGGCUGUCCGCGUCUUCCGGCGGGUCCCCGGGCGCUGGCGGGGGGCCUCGGGGACUCCUGGCGCGCGCCCUCCCGGGCCGGGUGCGGGUGCGGGUGCGGGUGCGGCGGGGCGCACGAGGAGCGGAGGUUACGAGCCCGCCGGCGAGGCGGAGCUGGGGCGCCCAGCCCUGCAGGACGCCGCCGACCCGACUGUUAGGGCUGCAGAGCGGGAAGGGGAAAAGCAACCACUUUUAGACGAACGCCUCCAACUCCGGGACGGGCUGAUUGAGGUCAGUCUCCGGUCGCCUCCCCCGUGGAGCAAGACCGAGCCCCCCAGACGCGGUGCCAAGGGCCUGGGGCGAGCGCUCACAAGUGUCCCUGCGACUCCGACGGGUCCGGACGCAAGCCUGGCAACUUGUAGAGAUGCAUCAAUCAGUUUGAAACGGGAAAGAGGAAAAAAUAAUAAUAAUAAUAAUAAAAUUUUAAAAAAGAGCGAGAGCGCAGGAGCGAGUGGCACCUCCCCGAUGACUACAUCAGAAAACCUUCUCGAUCCUCCUGCAGCAGCUGCUCCUCUUUUCCCUCCUCGGGCGCAGCAGCAACAAGAGGUGAAAAGCACCAACCGAAUCCUCAAACCUCUACCGGGCGGGAAAAUAAACUUGAGCAGCAGCAGCGGCGGCGGCGGCGGCGGCGGCAGCAGCAGCACGAGCAGCCCGGGGAGGAUGGAAAUGACUGGCGAGAAGUGCAAAGAGGUAAAAACUUUCCAGGCGCUUCGGAAUGGUUUAGAAGCGUCCAGACGCCCUCCAGUGGUGGGCCUGAAGUCCGCACGCAGCGGGGGUACCGCCGGCAGCUCGGCCCGGGAUGGAGUGGGAUGGAGACCCUGGGGUCAAGAUGCAUAA
rnacentral:lncRNA from 12 species